rnacentral:lncRNA from 1 species
CCAGCCUGUGCUGACUCAGUCACCCACUGCAUCUGCCUCCCUGUGGGAGCCUCGGUCAAGCUUACCUCCACUCUGAGCAGCAAAUACAGCACCUACAUUAUUGAGUGGCAUCAGCAGUAGCCAGGGAAGGUCCCUUGGUACUUGAUGUAUGUUACCAGUGAUGGAAGCCACAAAAAUGGGAUCCCCAGUUACAGUUCUCAGGAUCCAGCUAUGGGGCUGAUCGGUAGGUCACCAUCUCCAACAUCCAGUUUGAGGAUGAAGCUGAUUGUAUCUGUGGUGCAGAUCAUAGCAUUGGUGUGACAUA